UACGUAGGUGGCAAGCGUUGUCCGGAGUUAUUGGGCGUAAAGCGCGCGCAGGCGGUGCGGUAAGUCUCUGGUGAAAGCGCUCGGCUUAACUGGGCGAGGGCCGGGGAGACUGCCACGCUGGAGGGGAGCAGAGGCGAGUGGAAUUCCGGGUGUAGUGGUGAAAUGCGUAGAGAUCCGGAGGAACACCAGUGGCGAAGGCGGCUCUCUGGGACGGUACUGACACUGAGACGCGAAAGCGUGGGGAGCGAACAGG
rnacentral:rRNA from 1 species